AGCGAACGCUGGCGGCAGGCCUAACACAUGCAAGUCGAACGAACCUUUCGGGGUUAGUGGCGGACGGGUGAGUAACACGUGGGAACGUGCCUUUAGGUUCGGAAUAACUCAGGGAAACUUGUGCUAAUACCGAAUGUGCCCUUCGGGGGAAAGAUUUAUCGCCUUUAGAGCGGCCCGCGUCUGAUUAGCUAGUUGGUUGAGGUAAUGGCUCACCAAGGCGACGAUCAGUAGCUGGUCUGAGAGGAUGAUCAGCCACAUUGGGACUGAGACACGGCCCAAACUCCUACGGGAGGCAGCAGUGGGGAAUCUUGCGCAAGGGGCGAAAGCCUGACGCAGCCAUGCCGCGUGAAUGAAGAAGGUCUUAGGAUUGUAAAAUUCUUUCACCGGGGACGAUAAUGACGGUACCCGGAGAAGAAGCCCCGGCUAACUUCG
rnacentral:rRNA from 1 species